CAGUAGCCGCGGUAAUACGAAGGGGGCUAGCGUUGCUCGGAUUUACUGGGCGUAAAGGGCGCGUAGGCGGACUGAUAAGUCAGGGGUGAAAUCCCAAGGCUCAACCUUGGAACUGCCUUUGAUACUGUUUGUCUUGAGUUCGAGAGAGGUAAGUGGAACUGCGAGUGUAGAGGUGAAAUUCGUAGAUAUUCGCAAGAACACCAGUGGCGAAGGCGGCUUACUGGCUCGAAACUGACGCUGAGGCGCGAAAGCGUGGGGAGCAAACAGGAUUAGAUACCCCUGUAGUCCCUGUCUCUUAUAC
rnacentral:rRNA from 1 species